CAAUUAUCAAGAGUGGACGAGAGAACUGGCUCAAUGACUCCACGGCAACCUGGCCAUAUAUUGGCGAAGGUGCCCCGACCAGCAGACGGAUCCGUCCGUCUGGGUGAUGAGUG
rfam:Bacillus beveridgei strain MLTeJB, complete genome.